rnacentral:misc_RNA from 1 species
GAAUUCUCAACUCCCAAGUUUCUUAUAGAAGCAUGGUGAGCUUGGACUUGGAGGAUUUGUGCUGGCUAUUAAUCUAGUCGGCUCCUCUGAAAUGCAUUAGCAUGAAUUUUGCGAUCAUCUUCAGUGUGAUAAUUGUCUACGCUGUGAAUGUGAAGCAAUUUAUAUUUAUGCUUAUAGUCGUCUUUUAAAGACACUUUCUUGAC